rnacentral:lncRNA from 1 species
CUCAAGUGUGUGCUGUGUGUCCAGGGCCCGCUGACCGCUCCCUCUGUCCCUCAGGCCUGCGGCUGCCCACUGUACUGGAAGGGGCCUCUCUUCUAUGGAGCCGGCGGGGAGCGCACAGGCUCAGUGUCCGUCCACAAGUUCGUGGCCAUGUGGAGAAAGAUCCUCCAAAACUGCCACGACGAAGCCGCCAAAUUCGUGCACCUGCUCAUGAACCCCGGCUGCAACUACCUGGUGCAGGAAGACUUCGUCCCCUUCCUGCAGGACGUGGUGAACACGCACCCCGGCCUGUCCUUCCUCAAGGAGGCGUCCGAGUUCCACUCCCGCUACAUCACCACCGUCAUCCAGAGGAUAUUCUACACCGUCAACAGGUCCUGGACUGGGAGGAUCACCUGCACGGAGCUCCGGAGAAGCACCUUCCUGCAGAACGUGGCCCUGCUGGAGGAGGAGGCGGACAUCAACCAGCUGACGGAGUACUUCUCCUACGAGCACUUCUACGUCAUCUACUGCAAGUUCUGGGAGCUGGACACAGACCACGACCUCCUCAUCGACGCGCAGGACCUGGCCCGACACAAUGACCACGGUGAGCCUGGCUGCAGGACGUGGGGCAGGGCACUGUGCAGGUGACAGCGCACACUGCUCGGGGAGCCGGCGUCCCCCUGGCCCUGCCCUCCUGGCCUCUCCCUGCCUGCGGGCUCCUUGCCUGCUGUCCUGACCAGGACACUGCCUCUGUCGCUGAGGUGCUGUCGGGACACGGGGUCCCUGUGUAGGAGGGCCACCCUGCAGGACGUGGGUGGAGCGGGCAUCCUCGGCCUUCGGCCUGCCCUCACCGUCCCUGUCCCCUGCCUGCUCAGGCGUCAGUGUCUCUGGUCCAUCCCCAGUGGCCCCAGCCCUUCGCCCCGUCUCUAGUGGCCAGACCUCUGACCCAGCUCACUGGCCACGCGUCCUGCAUCCUGGUCACUGCUCGGCCCGCCCCAGUCCCGUGGUUUGUCUCCGAGGAACCUC